ACUAUAGAGGGAGAGUUUAGUUUGACACGAUAAGGCGUACUAGUAGUACAGGACAAACAUAUUUUUUGUGAUGGGCAACCGAAGAGACGCUCUCAAGCAUAGCAAGGCCGUCAGUAGUAGUACUGAAAGUAAUAGCCCAACCAAGUCCAAAGAGGAAAAGAAACCGACCGACGGUGAGGCAGACAAGACCGAAGGCGAAGGCGGGUUAACUGCAUGGCUGUCAAGCAGUGAAGGAGUUGGCUGGAUGCAGUUUUUCGUCGUGACCAACGCCAUCAUCUUACUCUUGACCACUGGCCUACCUCGGAUUUGGGAGACACUUGAUUUUAUGACCUCCAGCUCAUCUUCCGACUAAGAAAAACGUUUCUCGUAAAAAUACCAACCAUUCAAUAACGAAGAAGAAAAAAUAAGGAUGGCUGAAUCGGGUCUGUGGAUAAAAUGCACGGUGGUCGUGGUCAUCUUGGGUUACAUUUCUAUUCAAUUCAUGCGCUACAUGGACGAUUGGUACCGGCAAGAGUUUCGCCGUUACUUGGAAACCGAACAGAAACGGAAUCCUCAUCUUAUCAAGCCUUGAUGAGGAUGACAACCUAUUUUUCUUCUUCUUCCCCCCAUUCUUUCUGUAACAAACUCAAUAACAAUAUUUUCAUUUUGAUGUGGUAAAAACAAAAAAAAAAUUGUUUUGUGUGUACCGUCUAUGGUAGAACAGAGCGUGACGUCUUGUGGUUGAGUCAUUGUAUUUGUUUCGGUACUUAAAAAAUUGUUAACGACCGUGUAACCAUCGAUGCGACCUAUUAUCUACACCUUUGACGCUCGGCAGACUCUUUUGACUGAAUAAACACAUUUAGUGACGGCCGACCUUGAA